rnacentral:rRNA from 1 species
AGUGAACGCUGGCGGUAGGCCUAACACAUGCAAGUCGAACGGCAGCACAGUAAGAGCUUGCUCUUACGGGUGGCGAGUGGCGGACGGGUGAGGAAUACAUCGGAAUCUACUUUUUCGUGGGGGAUAACGUAGGGAAACUUACGCUAAUACCGCAUACGACCUACGGGUGAAAGCAGGGGAUCUUCGGACCUUGCGCGAUUGAAUGAGCCGAUGUCGGAUUAGCUAGUUGGCGGGGUAAAGGCCCACCAAGGCGACGAUCCGUAGCUGGUCCGAGAGGAUGAUCGGCAACACUGGAACUGAGACAGGGUCCAGACUCCUACGGGAGGCAGCAGAGGGGAAUAUUGGACAAUGGGCGCAAGCCUGAUCCAGCCAGACCGCGUGGGUGAAGAAGGCCUUCGGGUUGUAAAGCCCUUUUGUUGGGAAAGAAAAGCAGCAGGUUAAUACCCCGCUGUUCUGACGGUACCCAAAGAAUAAGCACCGGCUAACUUCGUG